rnacentral:rRNA from 1 species
GAUGAACGCUGGCGGCGUGCCUAAUACAUGCAAGUCGAGCGAACAGACGAGGAGCUUGCUCCUCUGACGUUAGCGGCGGACGGGUGAGUAACACGUGGAUAACCUACCUAUAAGACUGGGAUAACUUCGGGAAACCGGAGCUAAUACCGGAUAAUAUAUUGAACCGCAUGGUUCAAUAGUGAAAGACGGUUUUGCUGUCACUUAUAGAUGGAUCCGCGCCGCAUUAGCUAGUUGGUAAGGUAACGGCUUACCAAGGCAACGAUGCGUAGCCGACCUGAGAGGGUGAUCGGCCACACUGGAACUGAGAGACGGUCCAGACUCCUACGGGAGGCAGAAGUAGGGAAUCUUCCGAAAUGGGCGAAAGCCUGAAGGAGCAACGCCGCGUGAGUGAUGAAGGUCUUCGGAUCGUAAAACUCUGUUAUUAGGGAAGAACAAAUGUGUAAGUAACUAUGCACGUCUUGACGGUACCUAAUCAGAAAGCCACGGCUAACUACGUG